UAAACGAUGUCGACCAGCCGUUGGGUGCCUAGCGCACUUUGUGGCGAAGUUAACGCGAUAAGUCGACCGCCUGGGGAGUACGGCCGCAAGGUUAAAACUCAAAUGAAUUGACGGGGGCCCGCACAAGCGGUGGAGCAUGUGGUUUAAUUCGAUGCAACGCGAAGAACCUUACCUACUCUUGACAUCCUGCGAACUUGUGAGAGAUCACUUGGUGCCUUCGGGAGCGCAGAGACAGGUGCUGCAUGGCUGUCGUCAGCUCGUGUUGUGAAAUGUUGGGUUAAGUCCCGUAACGAGCGCAACCCUUGUCCUUAUUUGCCAGCGGGUAAUGCCGGGAACUCUAAGGAGACUGCCGGUGACAAACCGGAGGAAGGUGGGGACGACGUCAAGUCAUCAUGGCCCUUACGAGUAGGGCUACACACGUGCUACAAUGGCCGGUACAAAGGGUUGCGAGCUCGCGAGAGUCAGCUAAUCCCGAAAAGCCGGUCUCAGUCCGGAUCGGAGUCUGCAACUCGACUCCGUGAAGUCGGAAUCGCUAGUAAUCGUGAAUCAGAAUGUCACGGUGAAUACGUUCCCGGGCCUUGUACACACCGCCCGU
rnacentral:rRNA from 1 species